UCAAAAAAGCGACUAGCUCAAAUCUAGCGACUUUUUUUUGUGUUACUAUAGAUUUUUAUAGACGGUCAUUUGUUCAUACUGUACCGUCUCUACUCUUCACAACGAGCUGCGGGUGAUGCCGCCGGCCCCACCCACGCUUCAGAGCACAGACAGGCGGCCCAGUCCACGUACAGCAGCCUUAGCACCGGCAGUGUGAAGAAUUUCUCAAAACAAAGCAUGCACACCUCGGAGUGUGUUAAAAAUUCGGGAGGGUGCACUGCUUUAAAGCCAACCAUUUUGCAGUCCAUGACGGCAUCCAAUUUGUACAGCAAAAUGAAUCCCUCAACAUCUGGCAACAUGCAACUCUCGAUGACAGCAACUCAGAGGUGGAGUUUGAACCUUCCCACUAAGGUGUCGUGGUGGGAUGGGUGGUUUUUUCCGGUCAGGGGGCGGCAGACGGACCCCUUCCUCCAGCUGCAUGAGUCGGGCCACGUCAGGUGGGAUGUGCUCUGGUUUGACUCCUGCUGGCGGAGGCUGGAAACUACCAUUGUUCUGCUGACAGUUUGGCAAAGCUGGGUUAGUCGUGGGCUUUGUUUCACAUAUAAGAGGGACCUGUUGUGAAAAAAAAAUAUAUAAGACAGAUUUUAGAGAUUGUUUGAUUGUCAUUAACUAUGUUUCCAUCUAAAAAUGCAAAUUAGAGUAAGGCGCAAAACUGAAAUAUUACAUGAAACAUUUGCAAAUAAAUUACUGCUUCCAUCCAAUGAGAAAAAGAGAGCAAAUCAUCACUUUAUUUUACUGGGGGAAAACACUUUUCCUACUCAGUUGUGCACUUACGUUUUUCAAAAAGACUCUUUCAACAUUUGUGUGCAUUUUGGUGAGUUUUGGGAAAUAUUUCAAAGUGGAACUGGCAGGUUAUUCUGCUUGUUUUAAGGAAAAACUCACUUCAUUUUGACUUAGAUGGGUUUUGAAAAUAAAACUGUAUUUUUACUUGUCUAGAAAAUAAGAAUUUUUAGAGAAAGAAAGAAAGAAAGAAAGAAAGAGGAAAGAAAAGAGGGUUAAAUGGA